AUGCACGUACUAGUCAAUACAAACCUAUGGAAGGCAAAGAGAAGGUAGUUUCAAGGGACGCUUAGCAGUGCAGAGGCUCAGGAGCUGAGCUGUUACCACCUCUGGGAGCUAAUCGACAGCACUUGGUUUCUCGCCAUGAUUUCUGCAUCCAUUUUUAUUCCUUGCUUCCCAAAGUGCUUCCUCUUCUUGACAUGUUGAUUUCUUAGCUUGCAGCCUGGCUGAUUAUAGGACAGCAAGCAGCCCAUGAAGUUGGUCUGUUCAGAGGGGGCAUCCUCCCAGAGGCGUUUGGAGAUAUCUCCACCCAGGACUGUCCCUCCUCACAAAGAAAUGACUGCCUGACAGCAGGUAUUUGGCACAUUGCAGUGCCAAGUGACCUAUAAGCAUCUAUGACAGCUACGAUCUC
rnacentral:lncRNA from 1 species